UUGAUACAAACUCAGAGAUAUCACGUUUCAUACUCGGCCACCAAUACAUCUUUUUCAAGUCAUUAUACAUUUUAUUACCUCCCGGAUGUACGGACAUAAUACCACUGUGUGCUUCGUGUAAAAUCUUCUGUACAAGUUCUGAUUCUUCGGUACACAUACUCUGCCUCUGAAUAAUAAACAACCAUCAGUUUCAAUCUGAAAUUCUGAAUCAUUACCUGACUCACAAUGCACCCGUUUAGCCUGUAAUUUCUCAUCAUUCCUCUGAGCUUCACAUAUUUGUUGACGAAAUGUCGAUUUAGCUCUCAAUUCAGCUAUGAUUGAACCAUCAUUAGACAGUGACAACCGGGUAUUCAUAGCUCGUAAAGCAAAUAGAGAUUUUCGGCUCAAAGCAUCAGCUACCACGUUAGCCUUACUCGGAUGGUAAUCAAUAACCAAAUCAUAAUCCUUUAUCAAUUCAAGCCACCUGCGUUGUCUCAAAUUCAAAUCUUUCUGUGUCAUCAAAUAUUUCAAGCUUUUGUGAUCAGUAUAAAUAUGACACUUUUCACCAUACAAAUAAUCCCGUCAUAUUUUCAAUGCAAAUACAAUAGCAGCUAACUCGAGAUCAUGUACCGGGUAGUUUCUUUCAUGUGGCUUAAGUUGUCUUGAAGCAUAGGCUAUUACUUUAUCUUCUUGCAUCAAGACACAACCCAAACCAUUUAAUGAUGCAUCACUAUAAAUAAUAAAUUCCUUACCCGAUUCAGGCUGUACCAACACAGGUGCUUUCGUUAACAACUCCUUCAAUCGGUCGAAACUUUGCUGGCAUUUUUCUGUCCAUUCAAAUUUAACAUCUUUCUGUAAUAAACGGGUCAUUGGAGAAGCUAUCAUAGAAAACCCUUGUACAAAUCUCCGAUAAUAACCAGCUAAACCCAAGAAACUUCUAACUUCAGAUACAUUCUUCGGUGGACUCCAAUUGACAAUAGCUGAAAUUUUACUCAGAUCUACCCUGAUGCCUUCUGCGGAUACAAUAUGUCCGAGAAAACCUACCUCUCGAAGCCAAAAUUCACAUUUACUGAAUUUAGCAUAAAGUUUCUUUUCACGCAAAAUUUGCAACACUAUUUUCAAAUGUUCUGCAUGAUCAGUUUCAUCCCGAGAAUACUUAGUUGAAUUCAAUCCCCAGGUCAUUUAAUAUCGAACAAACACGUAUGACAUCACCAAUUCAUUAGAUCAGAGGUACUUACUUGAAUUCAAUCCUAAUAAAGGAUUUUAUCAAUCACCAAGAAUACUUAGUGUAUUCGCGUAGUCAAUAUUUAGGAAUAUAUUUAAAUAGUCACUUUUAUUAAUCAAUAAUUACAUGAAUUUUAUGAACAAAUUGUACACUACAUCAAUAAGUUGAAACCCACACCUAGAUUAAGGGUCUCAUGACACUAGAUCAAAUCUUCCCCACUUCAACGAUACGGAUCUAAUCAGAUCUCGCUUGAUCUGAUCAAGUAAUGAUAGUAUGACACCAAAGGUACACACAUUAGUUCUGAUUUUAGUCCAAAAUAUUCUCUUAUGAAAUUGUUUUGAGGAACUUACUCUAUUAAUCAUCGAAGGAGAUCUAAGAACUUCCUCUACAGUAAGGCAAAUCCAAACAAUCUAGAUUGAAUCCUUCAUGAAAAUAUUUACGCAAACAUUAGUCACAGAUUCGGCUCAUAUAUAUAAAAAAGAAAUGAGUGAGAUAGAUGAACGUAUCUUUACUUACUCUAUAUUGGGUUAAAUCGGAGACUAUGAAUCAAUUAGAGAAUUUUGCAAAAGUGAUAGAGGGGAGACUAUUGAGAAAUUAAAAAAAAAGAAAUAGUGAGUAAGAUUAUUAUUUAAUAAAUUGAAAAGAAUAGAGAAAAGAAUGAUAAUAGUUAAAUUAUGACCAAGAAAUGAAAAGAUGAGGAAAAAUGAAGAAAAAUAGGCGAUGGCGGUGACGGUGGCAGUGGAGGUCCGGCAAUAAAGGUCCAGCGGUGGAGUUAAGAAAGAGAAUGGAACAGGCGAUGGUGAUAUGGUAUUUGGUUGGUGGUAUGGCGGAGGCUAACGAUGGUGGAAGUGGUGCAAAAAGAGAAGUGGUGGCACAAGAGGAGGAGAGGGAAAAGGAAAUUAAAACAAAACAGUUCUUUUCUUCACUUACUAGGCAUGGCAUACAAGGGUCAAAGGGGGAGAAAGAUGGAAAGGAGUGAAACUAGGGGGAGAAAAGGAAAGGAAGGGGAACAAAUGGGAGUGAAAAUGGGGAUACAAAAGGAAGGAUGAGAAAGAUAAGAGAAGAAAGAAUCUCUCUUACAUGGAAACAAAUAUGGGCAAAAAAAAGGGGUUUGACCAAGAUGUUUAUGCCAAAAUUAAAAAUAAAAGUAGGAGAGGGGACUCGAACUUGGUUAUCAAGGGAAACUACACUACUUCUUAACCACUAGGCUAGAACACAUUCUCUCUCAAGAAUUAAUGAUAACUAAAUUUAAAUCGGAUGUGACAACUCUAUCCUCCUUAAAAAUAAAUUUCAUCAUUGAAAUUUACCUAAUUAGAAUAGAUGGGGAUAUUAUUCAUGAAUCAAGUCCUCUAGCUCCCAAGUAGUCUCCUUAGUGCUAUGAUUUUGCCAAAAGACCUUUACCAGUGGAAUCCACUCUUUCCUCAUAAAUUUAACCUCACGCUCCAAGAUCUGAACUGGCUCCUCAAAAGAUAAAUUUGGCCUCACCUGAAUCUCCUUAAUCGGAACCACAUGAGAUGGGUUAGAUCGGCACACCUCAGUAUAUAGACAUGGAACACAUCAUGGAUAUAGUCAAGCUCUAAAAGUAACUCAAAUUGAUAAACCACAGGUCCAACCCUAUUAAGAAUCCUAUAAGGCCCAAUAAACAUUGGGCUCAACUUGUCCUACCAACCAAAUCACAAAACCUUAUUUCAUGGUAGCACUAUUAGAAAUACCCGAUCCCCGAAAAUAAACUCUAUAUCCUUUUUUUUCAAAUCUAUAUAGGAUUUAUGUUCAUUCAAUGUUGCAAUCAAUCUGUCUUAAAUUAGAUUAACAAUACUCUCAAUCUACUGAACCAAAUCCGUCCCAACAUUUUCUUCUCACCUAACUCAGUCCAACACAAAGGUGUAUGAUAUAUUUGACCAUAUACUGCCUCAUAGGGUAUCAUUUGAAUGCUGAACUAAAAGAUGUUAUUAUACACAAAAUCUGCUAGUGGAAAAUGCUCCUCCUAACUACCUCAAAAAUCAAUUACACAACCUCCUAGCAUGUCUUCAAGGAUCUAAAUAACCUGCUCAGAUUACCUAUCAGAUUGUGGAUGAAAGCCAUACUAAAGUCCAGUCGAGUAUUGAGAGCCUCAUGUAACAUCUUUCAAAACUAAGAUGUAAAAACAAGGACCCUGAUUUGAAAUAAUCGAUACUGGUACCCCAUGUAGUCUCGCUAUCCCUGAAAUAUACAAUCUCGCCAACUUCUGUAGAUAAUAAUCUGUAUGGACAGGUAGGAAGUUAGCUGACUUAGUCAGUCUAUCCACAAUAACCCAAAUUGAACCUUUCUUAGAUGUGCCAGGGGUAACCCACUAAUAUAAUCCAUAUUCAUUUGCUCCCAUUUUUACUGAAGGAUCUUAAUAGUACGUAACAAGCCAGAAGGAAGCUGGUGCUCGACCUUCACUUGCUGACAUGUCAAACAUUUAGCCAUAUAAUAGAUUACCCCACACUUCAGACCUGACCACCAAUAAAGUUCUCUCAAAUCACAGUGCAUCUUAUUCCAACUAGGAUGUAUAGCGUAAGGGCUACUAUGCGCUUAUUGAAGUAUGGACUAUCUUAGAUCUUUGCUGUCCGACACAUAAUAUAUUCCACGAUAACACAAGACACCAUCAGAAUUGAACCCAAAAUCUAUAGUCUUACCCUCCUCAAUCUGUUUAAUCCGAGGUAAAAAAGACACAUCUAAAGGUUGCUUCACCUUAAUCUCAUCAAAGUCUUUACCUGUAAUUCCGCGAGUAAGCCACCAUCACCAAACAAACUCAGCUUAGUGAACAUUGCUCUCAAAUCAAUCAUUGGCCUUCUACACAGUGCAUCAGCUACGACGUUAGCUUUUCUUGAAUGGUGCUCAAUGGUGUAAUCAUAAUCCUUAAGCAACUUUAUCCAUCUUCACUGCCUUAAGUUUAACUACUUUUGGGAGAGAAGGUACUUCAGGCUAUUAUUAUCCGUGUAAAUGAUACACUUCUCACUAUAUAGACAAUGCCUCCAAAUUUUCAAAGCAAAAACCACAAUCACCAACUCAAAGUUAGGUGUCGGGUAAUUGCACUCAUGCUAUUUAAGUUAUCUCGAUGCAUAGGCCACAACCUUACCAUAUUGCAUCAGUACAAAACCUACACCAGUGUGGGACACAUCAUUAUAAACCACAUAAUCUUCCCAGACUUGGGCUGAAUUAGAACCAGUGCUUGAGUCAACAUGGACUUAAGCUUCUUAAAGUUGGUUUGUUACUCAGUAUAUUUAAAAGGAGCAUUUUUCCUUAAUAUAUUAGUCAUAGGGGCCUUAAUCAAUGAGAAUCCUUCCACAAACCUCUGAUAAUAAUAGUAAACCCAAGAAAACUUCGGAUCUCACUAACAUUCUUAAGCUGCUUCUAAUCUAGAAUGGCCUCAAUCUUCUUUAGAUCAACACGGAAACCUUUAUUUGAUACUAUAUGACCCAAAAACAUCAACUCUCUAAGCUAGAAUUCACAUUUACUCAGCUUAGUAUAAAGCUUCUUCUCACGGAGAAUCUGCAGAAUAACCCUCAAAUGUUCAUCAUGCUCAAGUUCAAACUUAAAGUAGAUCAAUAUGUCAUUGAUGAAGACUACAACAAACUGGUCAAGGUAAGGCUAAAAUACCUGGUUCAUUAAGUUUAUGAAAGUAGUUGGAGCAUUCAUAAGACCAAAGGGCAUCAUCAGAAACUCGUAAUGACCAUAUCGAAUCCUAAAUACGGUCUUAGGUACAUUGGAUUCCUUCACCUCCAACUAAUAGUACCCGAACCUUAAGUUGAUCUUAGAAAACACUGUAGCACCUUUGAACUGAUCGAACAAGUCAUAAAUCAUCAAUAAGGGAUACUUGUUCUUUACGAUCAUCUUGUUCAGUUGCUAGUAUUCAAUGCAAAGCCUUACAGAUCCAUCAUUCUUCUUGACAAACAAGACUGAAGCUCCCCAUGGCGGAACACUCGGUCUUAUGAAACCAUAGUCCAAAAGUUCCUAAAGCUGAACACUAAGCUCCUUAAGUUUCUUAAGUGCUAUGAGGUAGGGAGCAAUGGACACUAGAGUAGUCUCAGGCAAUAGAUCUAUCCCAAACUUGACCUCCUACUCCAAAUGUAAUCCAGACAACUCUUCCAAAAAAAGGUUAGGGAAAUCCCUCACAGUUUAGAUACCUUUCACAGCUAUUACAGUUACAUUUGUGUCCAAAACAUAAGCCAGAUAAGCCUCGUAUCCCUUACAAACCAACUUCCUAGUCAUUAAAGCAAAGAUCACAUUAGAUAAGUAAUUUUUACGCUCACCAAUCAUCAAAAUCUACAUACCAACUGAAGUCUUCAGAAUAACCUUUUUCGAAGCACAAUUUAAAUUGACUUGGUGUUCCACCAACCAGUCCACACCCAUAAUUAGAUCAAAUUCUCUGAAGGAAAACUCCAUCAGAUCAACUAGAAAUAUUUCCCAAAAAACUUCCAACUGGUAUCUUCUAUAAAUCUUAUUCACGGUAACAAAUUGUUCUAAGGGACUGACUACAGUUUAUCAGCCAUCAAACAAGAAACAUACAAGUGGUAGAUCCAAUAUCUAUCAAAGUGAAGUACUGAACAUAAUUAACUAUAAAAUUACUUGCUAUGACAUUAGUUGCAUCAUGAUCCUCUCUGCGUCUGACCGCAUAGACAAGGGCAGGUUGCCUAGCAUCAAUCCAAUUUGCACUAUUCUGACCCUAACCUCUCUAAGGUUAUUGCCUAGCCUUCUGAUUCUAAACCCUAUUUUACACUGAAUAUUGUAUCUGAUCAUUAUGUUGCAAACAAUCAUUAAUCUUAUGCUCUAUGGACCCGCACCUUAAACAAGCAUCCAUCUUUCUCUAACAAUCACUAGAGUGUUGUUUACCACAAUAAGCACAAUUCGGAGUCUUGCCUUUGGUACCAACUACCACAUUACUCUACCGAGGUCUAUCGUCUCUAACUCACUUAAUGGGUCACGAUGCCGUGAUAGUGGGACCAACAUCCCUUUUAAUAUGAGCCUUAGCCUUUUUUCUCCUUUCACGCUUCACACGCUUAACUUUCUAAAUAAUCUUGGUUUUCUCUACCAAAGUUUUCAAAGCCCUCUCUUACUGUGCAGUGACUUGCAUCAUCAGAUCAUACCACAACCUAUUUUCAAAUCUAACACACCUAUCCUACUCAUUCGUAACUAUCCCCUAAGCAUAUUGGGUGAGUCCCAAGAAUUUGGCCCCAUUCUCAACCACUAACAGAUCCUAUUGCUUUAGUUCAAUGAAUUCAAGCUUGCGAGCCUCCAUAUAUCUGGUGCCCACAUAUUUCUUCUGGAAAGACUCUUGGAAGUAAUCCCAAGUCAAUCUCUUCGCUUGCAUACCCCUCAUAACGGACUGCCAGCAUUGGUAAGCCUUGUCUCUUAGAAAUGAUACCGUACCCUUCAAUUUCUACUUAGGGGUACAAUCCAUGUUAUCCAAGAUUCUUUUCGUAGCCUCCAUCCAAUAUUCAACUACGGUAGGGGUCGUCCCAAUAAUGUCCCUAAAUAGCUCAGCUCCAUUGGAUCAAAGCCGUGUGAUCACACACGCUCGUGUGGCUCCGACACGCCUGUGUCCUCAACUCGUGUAACUCUCUGUUUAUGACAUCAGCAAUGAAAUGGGGUCACAUGGCCAAGUCACACGCUUGUGUGCUAAGGUCGUGUCCCCCACACGGUUGAGACACACGGUCGUGUCCUUGCCCGUAUGGCCAACACUUAGGCUAUUUUUCAAGCCUUGGUCAACCAUAAACCCUCACACAUUUAUACAACAUCAAAGACAUAUAACAUGGCAUCCAUUCAAUGAUUAAACAUCUUCAAUUAAGCCACAAACAUAGCAUUUGCAUGUCAUCAUACUUGUAUUUCUCAUACUCAUUUUAUAACAAGUCUGGACAUACUAAACCAUAUUCAUUUGACUGGACAUACUAAACCAUAUUCAUUUGACCUUGUCAUUUUUAUUACCACUUAUACAUUUAUACCAUGGUUAUCUUCAUGUUAAUAUUCUCAACUUAAUCAUCUAGCAUUUGUAGUCAUGUCUAAUUCAUAUCCUUACUGUUACAUAUCACACACUCACAUUAACAUGUUUCUUUAAGGCAUUCCACACCAAUUUCAUUCUUCAUCAACAUCACUAACUUACUCUAAAUUUACACUUUCAUACUAAGAAUAUGGUCACAUCUAUUGAUCAAAGUUCAUCCAUCAAAUAUGCAUGCCAUAUCAUACAUCCAUCGAUAACAAGCCAUCACACAUGCGCAUCAUCAAGACAUUAGAACAGCCAUGCAAAAUCAAUUAAGUUUACAACCCAAUGAUCAAAUGUAAGCGAUAUCUCAUGGCUCUAUACAAAUGAAUUAUUAUAAGCCAACUCAAUUGGACAAAUUAUGAAACACAUAUCAUAAAGUACAAAUGCCACUCACUUGAAAACACUUAAGAUUUAUUAAUACCCCGGCUUGAUAAUUUGAUAGUGUGAUGUUGCCUCUACGAUCUCCAACCUUGAGCUAAACUGACAACACUAAAAGAAAUGGAAAGGAGAAGGGUAAGCUUUAUAGCUUAGUAAGCUCGUACGAAAAUGAUAAUAAGCAAUUUAUUAACGUGCUUUUUCCAAAUUCUUACAACAUGUUCUCAUGGUAACACAAUCGAAACUACACAUAAUUCCACUAUUUGCUCAUAUUCCAGUCAAGUUCUCUACUUGAGUCAUAGUCACUAAAUUACUUAUAACUUGAGUUAAAAAACUCUAAAUUAAGAUCUGCUAAUUUUUCCUAAAAUUAGAGACAUAUCUUCUUACCAUAAAAUUUAUAGAAUUUUUGGUCUAGCCAAUAAGUAAAUUUUAUUCUUCAAAGUUACCCCUGUUCUGUUGUUUAACAACUUCGACCUUUCUUUACUAAAAUUUAUUUAUCUCUUAGAACAGGAUCCGGAUGAUGUUCCCAUCUAUUUAUCUUGAAAAUAGACUCAUUAAGGAUUUAUUCAUACAAAUUCUAGCCAAUAAUUAUUCUUGUACAAUUUUUUGCUGAUUUUCCAAAGUUAAGACAGGGGAGCACGAAAUCACUCUAACCCUGUCUCACAAAAAUUCAAAUAUCUCAAAAUAUGAAAUUCUUUUGCUUACACUGUUUCCUCAAUGUGAAACUAGACUCAAUAAACUUUAAUUUCAUAAAUUAUUCAAUUUCUAAUUCAAUUUUCAUAAUUUUUGGUGAAUUUUUCAAAGUCACGCAACUGUUGCAGUCCAAAACUAUUUUAGUGCAAUAUCAUGAUAACUAUCAUAUGAUGGCAUAAUAAACAUAAUCAUAAACAUAAUCAUAAACAUAAGUUUAUUCAUCAUUCAAAACCUUUGACUUACUUAUCACCCAUAUACCUCUUUAUUAUGAAACAUCAUUUAUUAAGGCAUUAGUGGUAAGUUUAGUGUACAUACCUGUACCAACUCGUAAUACAACAUAUAAUCAUAAAUUCCUUAGGACUUUCGUCCAAUCAUCCAUUAUGUUACCCGUUGAACACUCAGAAUACUAUUGGAUACGCGGAAAAUUUACACAUAGUGCAUCAAAUGUAGCCACAUGCUACCUCAUAUCACAAUCACAUAUUGCUUGCUCACGAGCAAAUCACGGGUUUGCUCAUACAAGUUGACAGUUAGGAUGUAACUACUCGGGCUACUCACACAAGCUGACAGGUACCCGCAACACAUGCCAGGCUACCUAGCCACCGGUAGGACGUACAAGACCAGCACCCGGAUUCACAUAUCACAUAUACACACAUACACACAUAUUCAUGAGUUCAUAUCCAUAUAGUUCCUAGUGACAUGUCACAUUGUAUCCUAAGCUAUUCCUAAGAUUCAAAUGGGAUUUUUCGAUACCACAUCUCUGUCGAACUUACUCGAAGUGUCGAUCUCACUAUCCAUAGUACCAAUUGCCCAUUCAUAGCAUAAUAAGGCAUAACUCAAAUAGAAAAUAAGAUUUUAAGAAUUUACAUAACAUAUAUCACAUAUUUCAUAUAUCACUUGUCAUGUAUCAUCAUUUCCUUGCAUUUCAUAUAAUAUUCUUCCAUGUCAUAUUUCCACAUCACAUACACCAUUCCAUCAACUUUUCCAAUAUAUUAAAUCAUACAAUAUAUGCAAUAAUAGUAAGGAAUAUAAUUCAAACAUAACAUUACAUUAUUAUUAUCAUACGAACUUACCUCGAAUCCGAGCACAGCUUAUUAUUCCAUUUUAAUCCAUAAUCUCGUACUUUCACGAUUUAAGCCCGAAUCUCGAUUUUCUUGAUCUAAUAUUUCAAAUAUAGCUUAUUUAUUACUCACAUUAUUAAAAUUGACCCAAAAUUCUUAUUUUUAUAAAAUUUCAUUCUUACCCCUAAAUUUUUACAUAUUUACAAUUUAGCCCCUAGGCUCGUAAAAUGAUUUUCAUUCAAUUUCUUUGUACUUAAGCCUAGCCGAACAAAUUUCAUAACUACAUCAGCCCUUAAUUUCCACUAAUUCACACAUUUUAUGAAAAAUUUUAUAACUUUUACAAUUUAGUCCUUUUAUGCAUUUUUACCUAAAAUCACUUAGUAAAAGUCGUUUCUCUAACCAUAAACUUGUAUAAUCUACCAUUAAACAUCAAAACACAUGCAUAUCACUCAUGGGUAAAUGUUUUAAACAUCAACCCUAGCUCACAUAAAUGGUAGAAAUAGCUAGAUCUUGUUACGAGGAUUUCAAAAAAGUAAAAAUCAAAGAGCUUGGAAAGCUUGAACAAAACCCUAGCCAUGACUUCCAUGCAAAAUUCAGCCAAAGGUUGAAGAUGAGCAUAAAUUUGGCUUUUAUUUUCCCUUUUUUAUUAUUUUAAUUACCAAAUGACCAAAAUACCCCUAACUUAAAAAUAUUCUAUUUCACAUAUUUCAUACUUAUUUUUGUCCAAAAAAUUAACCAAUGGUCUAAUCACCAUAUAAGGACCUCUAAUUUAAAAUUUCAUAGGAAUUAGAUGCCUCUAGCUUCUAGAACUUAAGUUUUGCACUUUUUUAUAGUUUAGUUCUUUUGACCAAAUUGAGUGCCCAAACGUCAAAAUUUUCGAACGAAAUUUUCACGAAAUCAUUCUGUGAAUUUGUAUACCAUAAAAUAUAAUAAAAAUAAAUUUUCUUAUGUCGAAUUUUUGGUCCCGAAACCACUGUUCCGACUAGGCCCAAAAUCAGACUGUUACAAACCUUGAGUGAUUUCAGUCUAAUAGUUCAACUACAACUUAUAGUCUAUAGUUUUUCUAUAGUUAGUAAUAAGAGUACUUAUCUAAUAUCGGCGUCGAAGUCUUGGAUUUUUUCUGUAAAAAAAACUUUAUAAAAUUUAUUUGUGACAUGGUUCCCAAAAUAUCCCUUAAAACAUGCAUGCAAAUUUUGAAUAAAAACCACAGUCUGAGUUUUGAAUAAGGCUAUGAUACCACUAAAUGUAACCUUUCAAACCUAGCCUAUAUGUUAUGGCCGAAUUUUGAAGACUACAUUGGCCACCGGAAUGGUACAGAAAAACUUUUGAAUUUUAAAUCAUAAUUUAAAACCAUUUGACUUUUUAUUCAAAACUAGUGAACUUGGUUAUUUGCCUUUGUUUUGAGAAAUCAUGUUAUUUUCAAAAUCAAGCGUCUUUAAAACUUCAUUUGUAAAGAUUAAUUAUUUCAAAAGAAAAAACUAAGUUGGAUUUUAUUAAAAACUCAUUUUCAAUAUUGCUGCGAAAAUUAGUGUUAAAAUCAUAUUUUCAUUAAAAACCAAUUUUUCAUGUAUAAUUAUUAAAAUAUCGAAUAAGCAGUUUAAAACUUUAAGUCAUUCAAAUCAAAAUAAAAAUCUCCCAAAAAAUAAAGUCACAUGUUAUAGUCCAUAAAGAAAAACAUAGCAGUUCCAAAAUAAUCAUUAAAAUAAAGUUUAAAGUACUUAAAGUUAAAAUCAUUUAAGAAGCUCCUUCGAUAGGCUCAUCCAAGUCCUUACCUCGGGGGUUAUCUGUAAAAUUGGUAAACUAAGUAGUGAGCUAAUAAGUGAGAAGGUUUGGGUAAAAAUAUAAGCCCAAAAAAUGGGCUAGGCAAAAAAAAGAGGCCCGUUUAGAAAAUGAGCUGAGUUUUAGGUAAGGCUUUUUUGGCCUGAGCCCAGCCCGACUCGAAUAUGCAAAAAAAGUUUGUUGUUUUUUUUACUAUUUUCUUACUUUUUUAAUAUUUUGUUGAUAUUUUUUUUGUUUUCUUUCACUAUUUUGCUACCAAUUCACUAUUAUGUUGAUAUUAUUUGUUAUUAUUGUUUGGAUAUAGUAUAAGUUGUGUUUUAUUGUUAAUUUUGUUACUAUUUUAGAGGUAUUUUCUUGUUAAGUUGCACUUAUCUUAGUAUUAUUUAAGUAUACAUAUUACUUUUUUAAAUUUCUUUUCAAUUUGUUGGGAAACUUUUAUUUUUAAUGAUUUUAGUAUUUUUGAUGUAUUAUAUUUUUUAAAAAAAUUAUAUAAAAAAUUAAUACAGCCGAUGGCCUAGGUUUAAGCAUUUAUAUUCAGACCGGGCUAAGCUGGGCCCAAUCCCGACCCAACCCAUGGACACCUCUACACUUAAGCUAGUAACUAUACAGAAUAUUACGAACAGUAUAGAAUUACAUAGUUUAUGCAAUGCAUGAACAUGUUAAUGCAGUGUUUUAAAAAAAAUGUCCCACCCAACUUCGCUACACAUCAUAAUAAGAGUUCCUCACAACUCAUCCAGCCAAUAACACACCAGUUUGUGGACAAGCCACCAGUAAUGCAGAAAAACUGCUAGAAUUGUGUACAAGCCACUAGUAUUGUAGACGAGCUACCAGUAAUGUGAACAAGCCACCAAAAAUACAGAUAAACUGCACUAUUAUGGACAAGCCAUCAGAAUUGUAGACAACCUGUCAGUACUUCCUCUUUACAAACUUAUCUCGACCCCAAUGCAAUAUAACAUGUUUUAAAUGAUACAAAGUAAUACAAUAAGCAUGACUAAAACAUGCAAUCAGUAGCAGAAUCAGUAGGCAUGAUUUAGACAUGCAGUCAAUAAUAGAAAUAGUGGCUUGAAAUAUCAUGCACUCGGUAAAAUGAUACAAUGGGCGGAUUUAAUGAUGCUUUUAGUGUUAACAAUACCAUAAACCAUAUUUUUAACAUGUAACUAACAUUUUAGUAAUAAGAUACAUGAUCUGUCAUGUAAUCAGUCUCUAUCAAAUCAGUAUCAUGUUUUAAUAUCACAUAUUAUAUGAAAUAUGACCAAGUCAUACAAUAACGCACGAACACAUAUGGCAUCACAGAUUCAUCAGAUCUGAGGUACUUACUUGAAUUCAACCCUAAUAAAUAAUUUUAUCAAUCACUAAGAAUACUUAGUGUAUUUUCUUAGUCAAUAUUUUAGAGCAAAUUUAAACAGUUACUUAUAGUAAUCAAUAAUUACAUGAACUUUAUGAGCGAAUCAUACACUACAUCAAUAGGUUAAAACCCACACUUGAAUUAUAGGUGUCGUGACACUAGAUCAAAUUUUCCUCACUUCAACGAUACGGUUCUAAUCAAAUCUCGCUUGAUUUGAUCAAGGAAUGAUAGUAUGACAACAAUGGUACACACAUUAGUUUUGGUUUUAGUCCAAAAUAGUUCUCUUAUGAAAUUGUUUUGAGGAACUUACUCUAUUAAUCAUCAACAAAUAUCUAAGAACUUCCUUUGCACUAAGGCAAAUCCAAGUGAUAUGGAUUGGAUCCUUCACGUAAAUAUGCUACACAAAUAUUACUAAUAAAUUCGGCUCAUAUAUUAAAAAAAUUUGAGAUUGAUGAACAUAUCUUUAGUUACUCCAUAUUAGGUUAAAUCGAAGACUACAAUUUAAUUGGAGAAUUUUGCAAAAAUGAUGAAGGAGGUGCGGCUAGGGAGAAAUCAAAAUAAGUAAUAGUGAGUAAGAUUAUUAUUUAAUAAAUUGAAAAGAAUAUAGAAAUGAGUUAUAAUAUUUUGGUUACGACAAAGAAAUGAAAAGAGGAGGAAAAAUGAAAAAACGAGCAGUGGCAACGAUAGUGGAGGUCCAACGUUAGAGUAAAGAAAGAGAAGAGACAAUGGUGAUAUGGUGGUUAGUUGGUGGUGCGGUGAUGGAUAACAGUGGUGGAAAUGGUGCAAAAGAAAAAAGUGGUGGCAUAAAAGGAGGAGGAAAGAAAAAUAUAAGAAGAGAGGGAAAAGAAAAUGAAAACAAACAAUUAUUUUUUUUUACUUACCAAGGACGACAUACAAUGGCCAAAUGGGGAGAAAGAUGGCAAUGAGUGAAACUAUGGGAAGCAAAUGAAAGGAGGGGGAACAAGAGGAGUGAAAAGGGGAAUAAGAAAGGAAUUAGGAUAAAGAUAAGGGAAGAAAGAAUCUCCCUUGCAUGGAAACAAAUAUGGGCGACAAAGGGGCGUUUACCAAGAUGGUAAAUGUUUGUUUUGAAACUACACUAGUUCUUAACCAAUAGGCCAAAACACAUUCUUACUCAAGAAUUAACGAUAACUAAAUUUAAAUGGGGUGUGAUAGAAUUGAUAUAGAUACCAUUCUAAUACUAGAUUUAUUUAUCUUACUAAAAAUCUCAUCCAACACUCUAGAACUAAACAUAUUGAAAUUGGAUAUCAUUUCAUUAGAGAUCAUGUCCAAAUAGGAGAUGUAGUUCUAGAAUCUAUUGACACUUUGCACCAACUAGCGAUAUUUUUACUAAAUCAUUAGAUAAGAAAAGAUUUUGGACACUUAGGAAAGAAUCAAGUAUUACUACCUUACUUUUAUUUUGUGUUAGAAUGAUUUUGUGCACUUUGAUGUUUUCAAAAUGUUUUAUGACUUAAAAUUGAUUGAAAAAACAUGAACCUAUUGAAUGUGUUUGAAUAGGCUUUUCUUAGUUGAUAUAAUUAAUUUUUGAUACACUUAUAGUGUUUUAUUAUUCAUAUGCGUAAUACUUAAAUUUUACAUUUUAAGCAUAUGAAAUCAUUAUAAUUUGCUAAGAAGUCAUUUUAGGAUAGUUUAGGAUGUAUUAGGACAUAGAAAUUGAGUUUGGACAAAUUUUCACACCUUGUAAAAUAGAAUGGGAAUUUGGUAUCGAUACUGAUACAAAAAUAUCGAUACCUAUCAGGUUUUAAAGAUUUAUGCACCGUGCUUUUGCAAAAUCAGUUUUAUUUUACCCAUAACUUUUUCUCUACCAUUUUUAAACCUUUCAAACCCUAACUCUCAAAACCAUCAAAUCUUCCACUUUUUUUUUCAAAAUCUUCACUCAAAACAACCUACAUUAUUAUUUUAAAACCAUGCUUAGGUAAAAAUCUCAUUUGUUUUAUUUCAAAUUUUACUCAAAUUUUUUGUUAAAUUCAUGGUUGAAUCUUGUUAUUAGGAUGAUAUGCAAAAUAUUUGUACUGUUGUUGUGAUUCAGGAGGUUUCCUAAAACCAAUCAAAACUCUUGCCCACCAAUUGUUCAACAAAAUUCCCCAACCAUAUUUUUAAGUCAUUUAGUGAGUCCAUUGCAUCUAUUUAGCUAGUGUGCCUUUAAAGAAACGUCCUCGAAUUGAUAAUGAUUGUUUUAAAAACUUUGAUGGAUGUUAUUGUUUUAACACUUAUUUUCUGCUUGCAAUGCAAAUGUUUCUUGGCCACUCGAUUUUGAUUCUUUAACCGGUUUUAAUUUUUCCUAUCUUCCUACUUUGGCUGAAUGGCAUUGGGUUGAUUUUUGCAAAAUCCGCUCUCAAACCCAUGCCAAUCUUGUUCGAGCAUCCUAUUUGAGUGCCUUGCUCAGACAUGAUGAAAUGAGUGAGACUGUUGUUGCUAUCAAUUCUUCUUUAAUGAAUACUCUUAUACGUCUCAUAGUAGAAAAUUUUAGAGAUUUUUUAAAACUUUUGCUCGGUGGGAUUUCAAAUGAGAAAGGCCCUUAUAAUUCAACCUUGACCAUUCCAAGCUUGAACGCAUCCGAGCACAAUACCAUUUUUUACAUUUAAUUCUUACAUGGAUAUUAUGUUUGAUUUCUAAACAUGCUAUUAUUUAAUCCAUUGAUUAUUGGUGGAUUGAUUAUUUUCAAAACAAUAGGCAUAUCAACUUCACACUUAUCAUGUUUAAUGACAUUACUAAGGACAUUGAUAAGGAACUUACCAACACCCUUACUUUGCCAUUUGGAAUGUAUCUUUCUUACAUUUUUAAAUGUUUAAAAAUCCCAACCUGAGGUGACCCUCCUUUGGCCUCGUCUACUCCUCUUGACUUUGGUGCCCUUCAUCAUGCUAGAUAUAAGAAGGAUUCACACACUAGCAAAUGAGUCAAGAAUGUCUAACUAGCAACUCAUGAAGAUGAAGAUGUUGAGGGAAGUCACAAUGAAGAUGUUGAGGGAGUUCAUGAUGAGGUUCCUCCUCCUCCCGAGCAUGUUCUUCCUCCACCUACUCAUUUGGUUGGUUUUUCAUAAGUUGCUCAUUUUUUCGUCGAGACCACCACUAUAUUUGGCACCAUUAAUUCUUUGGGCAAUGAAUUUUGAGGUUUUUGAGUUGAGGUUAACGAUGAAUUUCAUAGUUUGGGCUCUAAGAUGUCUUCAUUGGAGGAUCAAAUGGCUUAAUUUAUGGUUAAUUAUCCUCCAUUGUUGCCUUUUCCUCAAGAAGAUUAGACUAGCAUUUUCAUUCUCAUACAUCUUUUAUUUGCAUCAUUAGUUUAGUCUAACUUUGUUUCCUAUUACUAUGAAUGACUACACUUAAUGUUUAUCUAGUAUGUUUUGAAGUUUUUGUUUCACAUCUUAAUUCCAAUUUUUCUCAAUUGUUUCCUUUUAUUAAACUAACAAUAUCUCCCUCUUAAGCUUUACUUGUUGCUUUUUUAUAAAAAUGGGGAGGGGGGAGAGAAAAGUAAAUUUUGGUGAAUGAUUGAUUAUUUGUGCUUAUUCCAAAUUACAAAUUUAGUGACUAAGUUUUCGAAAUGUCUUUAAAUAAAAAUGAAUGACCAAUUUAUAAAUGAAUGCCAAAUUUUGAUAAUGAACGACAAAUUUCUCUAAGCCUUAAAUUGGAAAUUAUUUUUAGAAAGAGGAGCAAACUUAUUCAAAACUAAAUUUACCAAAAUGUUUUGUUAUAUCAAAAAAGGGAGAGAUUGUUGAACCAAACUUUACUUGGAAAAUGAUUUUGAUAUAACAAAUACUAUGUUUUGAACAAAAAUUAUUUUAAACAAAACGUGGCAAAAAUAUCAUUUCAAAUGAUAUUUAAAAAGAAAAAUUGUUGGGUUCAUACUUAGAAAAUAUUUUAAGGCCAAGUUAGUUAAACAAUUUUUCAAAAUUGGCAUUCUGACUUCCAAAGGAUUUAUUAAGUAUCGAUAUGGUAUCGAUACAUUAUAUUUGGUAUCGAUAAAAUUCCCCUUAUAUCAAUAUUGAUGGCUACAAUUAUCACUAAAUUAGGUGUUGAAUGCUUAUAGGACCGGUACUUGUAGAAAAAGUAUUGAUACCUGUUGUUGCAAGUGACAUUAAUGCAUUGAUAUUUUUAUCCCAAACGACUCUAUUCAAUAUUCCAACAACCACAACGGUUGGAAAUCAAUUAAAGGGUAUAAAUAUCAACCUCCAAAGGGUCUACAAUAAUAAGAGAGAUUAUCCAAGCAAAAGUUUCAACCAAUCAACCUAUGUGCUUAAAGUUUUCAUGAUUUUCUUGUACACACUUGUGAGCUUCCAUUGUUUUUUUAUUCAGCUCAAGUGUUUUAUUAUUUCAUUUGUGCUAAAUUGGCAAACAAUUCAAUCUUUUAAGGAUUAAUUCUUAGUUUGCUUAUUUGUAACACUCUUUAAGAGGGUUUUAUCUUAAGGUUUGGGUAGAAACCUUAAGGGAAUUAUAAGGUUAAACCUUAUCCUCAAAGGUUAGUCAAAUUAGUGAAUUUGGAAGAAUCAUUGGUAGUGAAAAGUUAAGGUAGUGGAGUAGGCAAUUGGGGUUGAACCACUCUAAAUAAUUGUGUUCGCUUGUUCUAAUUUUUUUCAACCUUCCACAAUUUUUUAAAAGCCAAUUCACCCCCUCUUUUGGUGAUUUCGGAUUGAUUAUUCAAGCUAACACAUUACUAUAGUGGAAUGACUUCGUGACUAAAUGCGUUUAUAAUUAAUAGACGAAAAGCUGGAACUUAAUUAUAAAUGAUUUGAGCCCUAAUUGCAUAUGUCCAAUCGGUGCCUCCGCUAGCACGUUGAAACCUGAAAUGAAUUGCAUAUUGAAUCAAAUGAACAGAAAUGAUAAAGUUGGAGAAAUGGGAAAUAUUUGGAAAUUAAUGUGGGUUUCUCUAAAUGAAAAUGACUUGAAUAAUUAAUUUAUGGUUUUUUGAAUUAUUAUUUAAUUGAUUGAUUAAAUAAUUGAAUUUUUGAAAAUAAAAAUAAAUUAAUUAAUCAUAGUGAAUUCGUUGAAUGUAGAAAUAUUAAAUAUAUUUUCUUAUAGAUUCUUUUACGGUAAAAUCGUCAUGAUUUUAACAUAAUUAGAAUUGAGUUGAAAAAAUUAUUUAAUUGAGAAUUAAUUAAUUAAUUAAUUAAUUUAAAAUGUUUAUUUAAGGAAAUAGAAAAAUAAGUAUCGGGUUAGAUUGAAUUAUAAAGUAUUGGGUUAAAAGUUUAGGAAGUAUUUGUAAGUGGACCCAAUAAAGGAGAGACUAAAAAACCUCCCAUGAUUAAUACAGGAGGCGACAAACCCUAGUUUAUUUAGCUAGGGUUGUCGCCCCACCUAAUCCUAGUUAGACUAGGAGUUCAUUUUAAAUUGAAAUAGACUUCUAUUGUUCAAUAAGAAUUUCAUCUCUUCUCCCUAUAAAAAGAUGGAACUAGUAGUGCUAAAUAUACAAUUUUGAGAUAUUGUUAUUUUGCUCGAAAAUAGUGAUAAUUUAUUUUCUAAGUAUACAAUCUAUAUUUUGAAAUAACAAUUCCAUCGGUUUUAUUAAAGAGAGAUUUGUUUUCCCAUUGAAAAUAAAGUAAAUAAUUUUUGGUUCUGUGUGUGAUUCAAAUUUGUUCGAGCCCACACUCGAAGUGGUUCAUGGUACGAGAAUAGCAGAGAAGGUUGUUUAGUUGAAAGCCGGGAACGAAAAGGAUCUAUCUAGUCAAAAACACAUGUGUGAUUUCAAUAAAAGGUGUAUUGCUAUAAAUAUCAUAAACCGGCUCAGUUUUCAAAAUUUUAAUUUCCCGCUACAUAAGAAAAUUGUUUUUGAAUCAUUUUUUUCCAAUACAAAAAUUGAAUGCAGAGUAAAAUUAACAGUUUGGGGGUUUGAAUGUUGUUAUAAGUAGGUAAAGAAAUUUUUAUAAAAGUUGUUUUGCAAUUCAUUCCGACCUAUUCUAUGUCUUAUUUUUUGUUGCCAAAAACUCUUUGCGAGGAAUUGGAAAACAUAAUGAGUAAAUUUUGGUGGCAAAAGUCCCAUAAUAGGAAAGGUUUGCAUUUUUGUAAAUGGGCUGAUAUGUGCUAUUUGGAGGAUGGAGGGUUGGGGUUUCACAAUUUAGCGAAAUUUAACAUAGUAUUGCUUGCGAAACAGGGUUCGCGUCUUGUUCAUAACCCAUAUUCAUUAGUUGCAUGCAUACUCAAAGCAAAAUGCUACCCAAACUCGGUACUUUGCCAUACAUAGGAAGGGUACGAGAUGGAAUGUUGGCUCGGGGAGAAGCAUAUCCAUUUGGAACAAUAAAUGGCUUCCAAGAUUUGCGGGAUACAAAAUAAAUGAAACUACGGUUAAUAACAUAAUUGAAUAUGUAGCAGAUCUUAUCGACCACACACACAAAAUGGAAUGAGGAACUGGUAAAAGGAAUUUUUAAGCUAUCAUAAGCAAAGGCCAUUCUGUACUUGCCACUGUCCAACAAUACCCAGGAAGAUUUCCUCAUCUGGCAAGAAGAGAACGCCGACUACUAUUUUGGUUUCAAAUCGUAUGGAAACUAAUCAAAACAGGGAACAAAAGGAAAUUUACAACAAACUCUGGAGGCUACAAGUUCCCCCAAAAUUAAAGAUAGAAAAUUGGCGUUUUAUUCUAAACUAUGUUCCUACAUAUGCUAAUCUUCAUAAUAAGCGUAUUGUGAAUUCUUCAAUCCGUCUCAGGUGUCGAAGGCUAUAGCCUCUUGUGGUCCUGCAAAAGAGGUUUGGGGUUUGUUCUCAAUUACUUGGCCAACAAAUUUACAAUUUAACCGUGCAUUGCACGAGAAAGAACUAAUUAUAUAUAUAUAAGCAAUGUUUAAAUAUAAUUGAUAAUAAAUAUUUAAUAACAGAAUAAAUAAGAAAUGGAAAAAAUAUUUUUAUAUUUAAAGAAUGCUGCUUUUAAUAUACUUAUGAAAAUAUUUGAAGUUUAAUUUAUUAAUUAUAUUUAAUAGUAAUUAUAAGAAAAACUAAUAAAAUAUUUAUAUAUUUUAAUUUUAUCAAAAUUUAUUUAAAUUUUAUUAUUAGACUUUUUAGUUAAUGUGUAAUAAUUUCAUUAUAUAUUUAUUUUUUUGUCUAUUUCAUGAUAUUAUUUUAUUCAAUCAAACAUUAUAAUACUAAUGUCGAUCUAAUACAUUUAACAAGAUCUAAUACAUUUAACAAGUAAGACUAUGUCAUACCAUUAUAUUCUGAUUCUAUUCUCUUUCAAUACCUAUAUUUGGAUAAUGUUUUUUUAUUUAAGCAAAGGAAAGUAAAAAAAAAAAGGUUGAAUAUCCUUUACUUUCCUUUGAAUUACUUUGGUUUUUUUUUUCUUCACUUCAAUGUGAGAGAAAAGAUGGGAAAGGAAAAUAAUAUUUCCUUUAAAAUAUGAAAUAUAAUUUUUAUCCUACCAAUCUUUUACAUAAAUUAUUCUAUAAAAAAGGAUAUGUUUAGAAAAAUAAUAAUUAUAACCCAUCUUUUACUUCUUUUUUUUCUUUACAGUGUGUUAUUUGAUAAAUUAAAAAAAUAAACAUAACAAAAUUAAGUAUUGAAUUUAAAUUAUAAAAUUAUUUAAUAUAUUAAUUAAAAUUUUACUGAAUAUAAUUAAAUAUUUUUUAAAUAUAAAUUAUAAAAAAUAUAGUCUACAGUUUUUAUAGAAAAAUUCUAUCAAAUAUAAAUAAGAUUGAAAAUAUUUAAUUUUUUGAAUGAUGUAUCAACCAACAUCCAAAUAAAGCUUGGUAAAAUUUUCUUUAUUAAUUUUAAUUAUAAAAAAUAAGUAUAUAUACAUAUAUCAUUUCCUUUCAUUAACCUUACUUUCUUCUUUCCUUUAUUAUUAUUUUUUUAAAUGAACCAGAUCCAACUGAAAAUUAAAAAUUUUGGAGCCCUUAAUUUAUAUAAAAACACCAUAAAUAUAAGGAAACAAUGGUGGAAAUUUGAAAAGCUUGAAGGGCAGACGCAAUUUCCAAUUUCAGAUCUGGAAAUCAACCCAAAUUGGAAUUGGGUGUUUUGGAUAAGAUCGACUGUGUACAAACACACUACCGUUAUUUUAAUAUAUUUUGUCAGCGAAACUGAAAGAAUAAAAAUAAAUUUAUUUAUUUAUUUAUUUAUUAAAUUCAAUUAUAGUUAAGUUCCAUUUGGUGAAUUGUCUGUAGCGCAAUCCUAGGUGUCUGAAAAUAUGUGUAUUAAACAGUUUGGAGAGUGGCUUUGCGGAAUCUCGUAGUUGGGUUUAUCUUUUUACUCACUCUGUUGGCUAAGCUGCUUUUCUAGGGUUCAUUUAUCUUUCGCCUCCCUCUCUUUUCUUUUUUCAAUCCCCUCCUUCUUUCAGGUCUCUUCUAAUCUAUCUUUUCUUUUUAUGUUUUGGCUUUCAAUUUCAAUUUGACUGCUUUUUUAUUUUUAUUUUUGGUACUGUUGAGUUCCUUUUCCAUGGUGGAUCUUCCUUUGUUUCAGCUGAGAUAUCCUUGUUUUUCAUUUACAACUUAGAGGCAAAGCUCAAGUAACUUGAUUAAAUCUUCUUUACUCUUUGGACUGAUAUUCAAGAAUCUUUAUUGUUUAAAAAAACAAUUUGAUUAUUUUGUUAUGUAACAUCCACAGUCACUGCUUGGUUUUUAACUGAUCAAUUGUAAUAGGUAAAAUGCAACGGGCAGUUCGAGCUUUUUCGGUGCACGGAAAUACUGUGAAAAAUGCGAUCUUGCAUCGCAUUCGGGUUGUCAAUCCGGUUAUACGACCCGUUAUGUUUUCCAGAUCACUUACAUCUGCUAGUAUGGAAGAACAUGGCUUCGAGAGCACCACUAUUUCAGACGUUUUGAAAGCCAAAGGCAAAGGUGCAGAUGGAUCCUGGCUUUGGUGCACUACGGAUGACUCUGUGUACGAUGCUGUGAAAUCGGUAGGCAUCUUUUCCAUUUCCAUAGAUUCUCAACCUUUUUUUAGAAUACUUGAUUUGCCUGCUUAUUUACCUCCUAUCUGUUUCAGAUGACUCAACACAAUGUUGGUGCUCUGGUGGUUGUUAAACCUGGAGAGCAGAAAUCAAUUGCGGGUAUCAUCACAGAGAGAGGUACUUAGCAUGCACCGGGACUAGAAAUUUUCAAUGAAUCAAGGGUUUAGUAUUCUUUGUAUAAUCUACUGGGAUUUACAACAUUCGCAAUCUACUCAUUUAUGUUGUUCAGACUUAUAUAUUUUCCUUGAGCUACUUGUGUCUGUUGAUAUACAUGUCUGACCCAUAUUCGUAUAUGGGUACGGGGAUAUGAUCCUUCAUGAAAAAUUCAUUGGAAACAUACUCGUAUCUGACACUAACACCUGAGCCAAGUAACAUAGCAAACUAUGCUAGGACUUUUUAUAUUAUUUGUCCUAUAAUACUAUUAGUUGGAGACAUUAGACAAAACUAAACCCUAUAUAGGCUAAAGCAUGCUGAUAGUUGCCUUGUUCCUUCUUAAUGUCACCCUUGUUCUAUCUGUUUCUUACUCCACCUUUGCCAUUGAAUGCAAUUAUUACCAUUAUUUGGUCUGGAUUCUUCCUUCAGCUCUUUGUCAUGUCAAUGAAUCACAUACUGCCCCUUUUUCUUGAGUAUUGCACAUACCAAAUUUAUAAACCUCAUAACAGUCUUUUGGCUUGGCUAAGACUAUAGUUUGCUUCAUUUUGCCUUUCUCAGCUAUCAAGAGGAAGAGAUCUUGAAGGAUUUUGUGGACUGGUACGAUUUUGAUAAGUUAAUUUUUGCUAUUUGAUGUUUUACUUUCAGAUUAUCUUAGGAAGAUAAUAGUACAUGGAAGAUCAUCCAAGUCAACUAAAGUUGGGGACAUCAUGACUGAAGAGGUAUUGUUUUUGCUUUUAUUCGAGUAAAUUUAUAGGUUUACUUCUAUCAUAUAUGGUCGAUUGUUUAGAUGUACACUUAUACCAAUUCUAAGAUUUUAUUAAAUGAUGGUUGUAGAACAAGCUCAUCACGGUCACACCUGAGACCAAAGUUCUGCAAGCAAUGCAAUUGAUGACAGGUAAUAUGAUCUACUGCCAUCUACGACAUCCGUUUUUGGUGUUCACUGGGCUGUUCAUUGUCAAGCUAGUAGUAACCUAUGUAAUUUUUACAGAUAACCGAAUCAGACACAUUCCAGUGAUCAAUGAGAAGGAAAUGGUAGGCAUGGUUUCCAUUGGAGAUGUGGUUCGUGCUGUGGUGAGCGAGCACCGUGCAGAGCUGGACCGCUUGAAUGCUUACAUACAGGGAGGUUACUAGAUGAUGAUGAUGAUGAUGAUGAUGAUGGAAUAUAGUGUAUGUUUCACUUGUUGGACUUAAGCAAGCAAGCAAGGGGAGAGCUUGCAAAUAUGCUAUGUUUUCGUGGUUUUUCUGUGAAGAUGCAAGUGAUGUUGGAAUAAUUACCAUGUGGACUAAGUGUUUGACAAUAAUCAUUCUCAUUUUGCUUCCUUCCUAUUUGACUAGGAAAGUGGCAAAAGCAACCUUGGAUCAGUUUGAUUUCUGUUUUUCUAAUUCUUGAACGCAUUAACUCGGCGAGUCACGAUUGAGCCCUUUGCAUAGGUAUCAACUAAAAAAUAAAUUAAUUAAAAUCUGGAUAUGCUUUCAACAUUUUUAUUCCUACUAAUAAAAAAAAGAAGCUUUUUUUCUUAAAAUUUUAUUCAGAAAUUGAGAAGUAAUAACUCAAAAGUAACAGCUGAAAGAAAACCCCAUGAAAAUACGUAUUCUUUUUGACAAAUAUUUAGUUGGUUUAAAAUAUGUUUGUUGACUGAAUUUUAAAAUGAUACUACAUGAUCACUAAUAUUGUGGUUUUGUUAUAUUUUUAUCAUUAAAUUAUUAAAUGUUACUAUUAAUGGUGUAAUGGGUCAAGAUAAUGUGACAUGUUAUAUUAUCAUUUCAGAUAAAUUUUAAGUCAAAUUGUUCACUAAUCAUUAUAUAUAUAUUUAUUUAUUUUAUUUUCCUUUUUCCUUUUUCCUUUAUUUCUUUAUUUUGGCCUCACCGCCACUGUUAGCCAUCCAAACAAAAGCUCCUAUUCCCCUCUUUUACUUUUUCGGUUAGUCUUACUUGAACCGUUCAAAACUCAUGAAACCAACAUCCAAAUUUUGAUCUUUCAAACUCUGACCGGUAAUCAUCAUCAUUUUGGAGUGUCUGCUUCUCUGGUGUCUUCACUUUCUCUUCACCGUUCGGAUUCUCCAACUACUCUUAAAUGGUGGUUUCCUCAUGCAAUCAAUUUGGUGGUAUUAUUAUUCAGACAAGAAAAAAAACCAGCAAUAUGAGAUCAGUGUUCAAUAAUUUAUGAGUAAACUACUAAAAUAGUCACUUUUGUUUAUUUUAUGCUAUAUUUUAGUAAUUUAUAUGUGAAAUGUUAUGUUUUAGUCAGUUACGUUAUCAUGUUGUAGCAUUUUAGUCACUAAACAAUUAUUUGUCGUUAACGGUAAAUUAACUUGCUCAAAGCCUGUGACCAUCGAACCAAAUGCAUCCGAUGGAGGUCUAUUACUUAGAUGGGGAUCAUUUGGCUCACGAGAGCUGGCCCGAUUCAAGGAACUGUUGGAGAAGCCUGUCAGAUUGAAGCCUGGUUGGCCCGAUAGCAAAGAUAUGGCAACUUAGGCAACUAUGGUAACUAAUCUUUAAAGAUAGAGGGAAUCAUAUCUUGUAAAGAUUAGAUAAGAUUUGAUAUGGCAAUAUCUUGUAAAAUCCCUUAAAUCAUGGGAUUGGUUAAUCUCGUCCGUCGAUGUAAUUGUAUCUUGACCGUCAGUUUUGGGGGAGCUCAAGUAUAAAUAGAGAGCCUCCCCUUCAUUUGUACUUACUAACACGUUAAAUCAUCAUUUCAAACAAAAAUUUUAGGUUAAAUUAUACAAUUGGUCCCCAUAUUUUUUUCGUUUUGAGUAACUUUUUUUCUUUUCUAAUAUUUUAACUUUCCUUUUAUUUUUCAUUCUCUUGUGCUUCUCCUUUUGUUUUUCUUUCUUUUCUAUUUUUUUUAACGUAGUUUUUUUAUAUUUUCCAUUUAUUAAAACUAAUCAUUAUACUUUAUGAAGGUGAUUCCCACUAUUUUCUUUUUGAAAUCAAAAAAAAGUAGAAACUUGCCAUGGGAAGGGAGUGUUGGAAAUUGUAAAUUGCAAAUUCAUAAUUAUUCAUGAGCACUUAUUAGAAAGUGAUGAUUUAUUCAAAGGAUACAUUUAAUUCCAUGAGACAUGUUAUUCUAAGAAGUAUGUCCAAUAAAAAUCAAAUGUAAAGGGUUGUGACUCUUCAAAGUAUUUUCCAUUGAGUGUAUAUAAAUAGAGGGUCUAUGGUGUUAAAAAAAUACAAUUACAAUCAAUCUUAUUUUCAAAAAUUAGAGUAAGAGUUAGGAAAUUCCUCGAUUUUGCUAAUCAAAGGAAAUUCAAAGCUUUGUUAUAUCCUUAGAGGACCUUUGUCUUAACCCUCUAGCAACUUUGUGUGGGGGCAAACAAUUCUAUUUGGAAAGCGUCACCCAUGCCUUGAAGUCUAUUGUUUAAUUUAAUAUUGUCUCCGGAUCUAUCUUCUCCUUUCAAUAUUUUCCAAUAGGGAGCAACAAAGAAACCCUACCGAUGGUAUAUCUGGAAGAUUAUCAAGCGAGCGACAAAGUUCAAGGAACAAUGGAGGAGUUAGGGACAUACUAGGAUGAGUUCUCCAACUAAAGAUCACUUAUUUAUCGAAAGAAUCACGAUGCCAUCUUUCGGUGUCAAAAAAGGAGAAAAGCCAAGUAAGCUAAAAGGCUCCAAAUUAGGCACAAAAUUUGAGACUAUUGACUUUUCCCGGCAUUAUAACCUCUAUAUCAAGGUGAAGAAACAUCUAUCCAACAUGAUAACAAAUAGGGAUGAAUAUGUGGAUCUUUCAUGCCAAAAGGUUUCUAAAUCCUUAGAGAGGAUUCUUUCUCUCUCAAAGUAUAACUUGUCCUUUUAUGGCAGCUUGGGAGGAACUUAGAAUCUAGCUUUAUAACUGCACGAAUGAGAUUUAUUGGCUGUGACGAAUUCUAAAAUGUGAAUUAUCAAUAAAACUAUGUUAGCCAUCUAAGUCAAGUAACAACAGAGGAACCGGAGAGCCAACUUUGCUUUUCGAAUGAUAAGUUAGUGAUGAAGUCCAAUGUGAUAAUGCAAUUUUGAACAAACUCGAAACUUGCCUGAAUGAUGACAAAGAAGAUCAAUUUUAUUGUUCUACUAAAGAUGAAAUGUGUUCGAUUAUUUUAUGAUGCAAUCAUGAACUUAUAUUUAACCUUCAUGAAAUGUAUGCAAGUGGUGUGAAUAUUGUUGAAGAAGAAAAUAUGGUUCUAAGGGAAAGGAACCUUCAUAAAGUAUAGGGACUAGUUUUGACAAAUAGAAAACAUAGAAAAACUAUGUUAAAAGAAACAGAGAAGGGAGGAAAAUAGAGGAAGAAGUAGUAGAGGAUGAAAAAUAAAGAAAAAAAGAAAGAAAGAUGAAAGAACAUAAAAGAAAAAGAAAUUAAAUUGCUCAAAAUGAAAAAAUAUGAGGACUAAGUGUAUAAUUUAACCUAAAAUUUUCGUUUGAAAUGAUAAUUUAACGUGACACUUCAGCUUACCGUUACAUCGUUAACAGUAAUUAGCAGCCUAGUGACUAAAACGUAAUAUUUCAAACAUGUUAAGUGAUAAAGAAAGCCUUCAGUUGCUAGCUAUUUGUUAGUCUGUUAGUUUGUUAUAAUCCAGCUGUUAUAUAGUUGCUAUAUUGUUAGCAGCAGUUUACUCACUCAAAGGCUUCUAUACACUUGUAAUUGUUCACAUGAAAGAUCAUCAAUUCAAUGAAUUCAAUUUCUGAGAUUAGUUUCUGAAUUAUAAUUUAUACAACGCAUUCUUGAUUUACUUUUAGUUCUAUAAAAUUUAGUAAAAGCAUAAGUAAUUAAAAUAUAACAUAAGAUAGAUAAAAGUAACUAUUUUAAUAAUUAGUGAUAGGAAUAAUACGUAAGACAUCCACCAACCAAACAUAAAACUAGUGAAAUAUAUUGGAAAUAGAAUAUUGUAUUAGUUGUUACAAAACAUAUAAUGAAACUAAAGAAUGGUAAUAUUAAGGCUGUGAUAGAACAAUAUAUCUGUCCUUAGCGAAGGAAAUUUCAAAUUCCUCUUAACGAGCAGUGCAUUCUUUCGGAAACCGCUUUGGUAUGGGUGCAAUAGUUGUAAAUCAAGCCAUUUUUGGAGGUUGGAUAGAGCUGAAAUUUGGAUGUUGGUUUUAUGAUUUCGGUAAGGAAAAUGUGAAAACAGAGAAGACUAACUUUUGUUUAAUGAUCAGAAUCCAAAAAAAUUAGUAUAGAAAUUAUGCUUUAAUUUCACCUAAAAUUUUCAUCCAAAAUAAUCAUACAAUGCUUUAAGACCCAUUCAAGACAAAACUAUUUUUUAAGCUAAAUAAUUUAAUCAACUUCAAAAAAUAUAUUAAUUAAUUUUAUCUUUUUAUAUAUUACUUUUCAUUUAAAUAGGAAAAUAACUUUCCCUGAAAUAACUUUAUUUGGUUUGUAAAAAAGUAACUCUUAAAGUAGCAUUUGAUGUUUUACUAUAUUAUGAUUUCAAUGGAGUAUGAUUCCUCGAAAUAUAUUAUCGGGAAUGUGGAUAUCAAGAAUAUUACUUUAUAACGUUUGGUAUACAUUAGAAGGUAUUAAUUAAAAUCUUAGGAAGGUUAUAUUAUCACGUUUGAUUUUCUAAGUACUUUCAUAUAAAUGUAAUGAUAAUUUAUAAAUUUACCUUUAUUAAAUAAAAGGUAAUAUUCAUGUGUUUAAGUUUUAUAAUAAAAUUUAUUUUUAACAAAUAUUUGGAGUAAAUAUUUAAUAAUAAAACUUAAUUGAUAGUUUUUAAAUUAUUUUUAAAUUUAUAAUUUUAAUUAAAAGAAAAAUUGUUUCAAUUUUGUCUUGCAUAUAUUUUCUAAGUAUAAUAAUGCAUGUAUAAAAUUACAUGUUACACAUAGUCUAGUUUUGGAAUAAAUUUUAAAAAUAUUUGAAAUCAUGUUUUAUUUUAGCUAAAUGCUCACUCAUAUGAAUAUAUAAAAAAAAAGAAAUUGAUUUCGAGUAUUGCUCUAAGAAAAACUAUAAAUGAUUUAAAGGUAAGUUAUGCAAAAAAAAAAAGAAGAAGUUAUGAUUAAAUCAGUUAGCUAAACCUAAACUUUUAACUUUUUUUUCCUAUUACUUGUAAAUAUUCACAGAGAUAUAAUAAAAUUAAAUUUUUAAUUAAUAUACCGAAAAAAAAAGAAAAUAAUAAUGAAUAAAUAUAAUAGGUAAACAAUACACUAUAGAGAUGAUAAAACAUGUAUAUAAAAAAUAAAAUUAGGAAAAAAACUUACUAGUAGAAGUAAUAGAGAAAACUAAGUAGGAGGAAGGAGUAGUCAAUAAUUAAGUAAGUAUGGUUAAUUUUGUGUUAGUACUUUUUUAAAGUUUUUAAUUUACAUGGAAAAAUAUUUUUUUCAUUUUUUAUCAUGUGAAUCACAUUGUUAUGUUCAUAAGAAAAUAUUUUAAGAGAAAAUUAAUUUGUAAGGAAUGUUAAUAAAAUUGACAUCUUCAUCUUUUCUGCAAAGAAAUUUUUUACAAAUUUUUUUUAUCUAAAUUUCAAAAUUCUACAAUUAAAACAAACCUCCAUUUUCAAUAUUAAAAACUCAAGGAAAGAAAUGGCAGAAAGAAAACUCCCUUUUCUACGUUUCAAGGCCAUGAAAAGUUAUUUUUAUGGGUUUAUGAUUUCACACGUGACUAAGAAGGAGGAGGAAGGGGAGGGAGAGUCAAAGAGAGAGAUGCAACAGUUAUUUUUAAUUUUAUUUAUUUAUUUUGUUAAAUAAAUAAAUUUUAAAUAUUUUUUAUUUAAUUAAACAUUUCAUGAAUCAUAAUUUAAUUAGUUUAGAGUUUUUUUAAUGGGAGUUAACAGUUUAUAUCUAAAGUAGUAAUGGAAUAAAACUUUAACGUGUACUUUAAGAAAAUAAUUUUUAGAUAUUUAAAAUGAGAAAAAUAACAUUCACCAAAAAAUAAAAAUUACACAGUUUUAACACCUAUUUUUUUAUAUAAAUUUUUUUAUCAAUUAGGGGUGAGCCAACGGUUGGUAGGUGCUCAAUUUCCCUAAAAUAAAAUUUUUUUUUUUAAACUUCUUUAUAAUUUUUAAAAUUUUAAAUUAAUAAUAAUAAAAUUAUACUUUUAACUUUAAAAUGAUAAAAACUGAUUUAAUCUUUAAAAAAUAUAUAAUUAUAAAUUAUUAAAAUGAUAAGUUAUUCUUUUAGUAUCUUAAAAAUAUAAAAUAUAAAAUAUAAUUCCUACCCUCAAAAAUGUUUGAGGCCCAGAUUUUAGAAUUGUUGUCGGUUGGAAAAUUAUUAUAGGGAAACUUGAUCCGGAUAUAUAAUAAUAAUGAUGACUGCCAAUCCGACAAAAUGGGUAAUGUUUUUCUGAAGAGCUGUUAAUUGCCAAGAUAUUAUAAUUCAAUUAAUAAGAAAUAAAAGUAAAUAAUUAUUAUUUAUCGAUUAGUUAAUGUGGUGGAAGUCGGUGGCAAGAGUUGGGGACUUCCUUCAGUUCACGAGUUGUUUCUCAGGCAUGGCUACUUUCAUGUGAUUCCUUCACCUUUUGAUUACUACCACCUUCAGGCGGUCAGGUGGGUGCAUUGACUUCUGCCCACUAGUUCUAACUUCUACAUCUCAUUAUCUGAUCUCCCAGGCGGUAAGUAAAUGGAACUGCAUGCCUGUGGCUGUCUUCAUAUUUACAGUCAACCUUAAUUUUCAUCGAAGGCAUAUACGUUUAGUUAAGACCAAUCUUUCAUUUUAGAAAAGUAAUAAAUGGAACAGUGUUGUUGCUUAACAAAUGAUGAAGGCGACGGUUGUCUUUGUCCCUCAAAGUAAUUAAUCCACCUUAAUCUGCAGCAUUCCUCUCAAUCCAACUUAGUUUACAUGUAAUUCAUCAUCCCCUUAUUCGAAUUUCUUAUAAGUUUUCUCAAUAUAAAUAUACCACACAAAUAAAUAUUUAAUAAAUUUAACCCUUAAUAUUUAUCAAAUUUGUUGUUUUAGUUUAAACCUUAAAAAAUUCACAUAAUUUUAUCUACAACUAAACAAUCUAUUUCCCAUAAUUUUAUUUUUUAUUUUGAAGCUAGAGAUGACAAAUUGAGCUCGCUUUCUUUCUUUUUUAUCUUUUUUGGUAUUGAACUUUCUUGUUUGUUGAUGUUUUUUUUAUUAUAAAAUGACUAGUUGGCUGUUGCAGCCUUUGUCAUAGAUUUGUAAUCAACUUUGUUUAAUCAAUUGUAAUGUUUUAAAUACUAUUUUUAUUGUUAGAUAUUUGCAGUAGUUUAUUAUGACCUGGUCUACAGGCAGUAGUUAGUAAUUAAUUUAAGUUUAUAUGCUUUCCAAGAUUUUAAGAGUUAGCUUUGCAUAUUUAUGUUCUUCUUUGUUAGCUAUACAACCUAUUUAAAAAGGUUUUUUGCUUAUUGAAUAAGCAAGUUCAUUUUUUCCCAAAUUCUCUCUCUUCCAUCUAUUGUUAUAUUAUUGUUCACUUAACAAUAACAGUGGUAUCAGAGCAGUGUAAAAAAAUGAACGACAGUUUAAAAAUAAUUUUUGAUAAUUUUGUACAACCAACAAUUCCUCGCUUUGAUGGUUGCUAUGAUCAUUGGAGUAUGUUGAUAAAAAUUUUCUCAGAUCUAAGAAGUAUUGGCAAAUUAUUUCUGUGGGAAUACUAGAGUUAGCUAAGAGCACAGUAGCAACGAAUGCACAAAAAACAAAAAUUAAUGCUUUCAAAUUGAAGGAUCGUAAGGCGAAAAAUUACCUUUUCCAAGUGAUUGACCGUUUAGUCUUGAAAACCAUCCUUUUCAAAGAUACAUCAAAGGAAAUUUGGGACUCGACGGAAAAGAAAUUCCAAAGAUCAGCUAGAGCAAGGAGGCAACAGCUUCAAGUACUUCGCUUAGAGUUUGAAAUUUAUCGGAUGAAAUCUGGGGAGUUCAUUUCUAACUUCUUAUCAAGAACAAAGGCCAUCAUCAGCAAGAUGAGAACAUUUGGGAGAGAGAAUAAAGGAUGUGGUUGUAGUCGAAAAAAGUCUCCGCUCAUUGACACCAAAGUUUAAUUAUGUGGUUUGUUCAAAUUGAGGAGUCAAAAGAUGUUGAUAUUUUAUCCAUUGAUGAAUUCAAGGUUCAUUACUAGUUCAUGAAAGGAAAUUUCUAUAGCAAGACAAUGCGGAAUUAGCAUUGAAAUUCUCAUCAAAUCAUUUGAGCAAAGGAGAUAGAGGACGUGGAUCAAAUGGCAAUAACAGCAGAGGCCGAGGAAACUAUGUUCAUCAACAAAAUCAAUAUCAAUGAAACUAAUCUCAUGAAAGAGGAAGAGGAUGGGGUGGUUAUUAGGUAAAGUCAGCAGACAAGUCAAAUGUUGAAUGCUAUCGGUGUCACAAGUAUGGUCACUACAAGUCUGAGUGUCGAACAAAUUUGUCAAGUGCAUAUGGAGAAGAAUACAAUUUUGCAGAAAAAUAGGGAGAGCAAGUUGAAGAGAUAUCAUUACUGAUGGUAUGUCAUGAACAAGAGUCAACCAACAAAAACUUGUGGUAUUUAGACAUCGAGUGAUUACAUGAGUGGAGAUAAGAUAGUACUUUCCAUUCUUGAUGAAUCUUUCGGGGAUAAUGUGAAGUUUGAAAACAAUUAUAUGAUCUCUGUGAUGGGAAAAGGGUAGGUAACCAUACUAACUAAAACUAAAGUUGCCCAAACCAUGUCUAAUGUCCUUUUUGUCCCAUAUUUAAAGAACAAUUUGUUAAGAAUUGUCCAGCUGUAAGAAAACGGUUACUAGAUCAUAAUAAAAAAUGGGGUGUGUCAAGUUCUAGAUGACAAAUUAGGAUUAAUCGCUCAAGUUACUAUGACAGCAAAUUGAAUGUUUCCUCAGUCAUUUUAUGCAACAAGUUCGACCGAUCAAGUGCAGCUGUGACAUUUUCAUUACGGUUAUCUCAGUUUUAGAGGUUUACAAAUGUUUCAACGAAAGAAAAUGGUAGUUGGUCUCCCGCAUCUAUCUGGUCCUGCAUAUGUAUGUGAGGAAUGUGUUCUCGAUAAGCAACAUUGAGAACCAUUUUCAAACAAUAAAUUUGAGAGAGAAAGAAAACCAUUGGAUAUAGUGCACUUUGAUAUUUUUCGGCCAAUUAAUCCCAUUUCUAAUAGAGGUAAACAAUAUUUUAUCACCUUCAUUGAUGACUUGAGUAGAAAAAACCUGGGUUUACUUCCUGUAGGAAAAGUCUGAAGCUUUAACAACUUUCAAAACCUAUAAAGCAAUAGCUGAGAAAGAAGUAGAACAUCUGAUACAAGUAUUGCGGACUGAUCGUGGAGGAGAAUAUAAUUCAUAUGGAUUCACAAUUUUUUGCUAAGAGCAAGGCAUUAAAAGACAAUUAAUAGCAACCUACACACUGUAGCAGAAUGGCGUAUCCGAAAGAAAGAAUCGAAUGAUCUUUAACAUGGUGAGAAGUUUAUUGCAACGGGGCAGAGUUCUAAAGACGUUUUGGCUAAAGGCUGUCAACUGGAGCAUUCAUAUUCUGAAUAAGAGUCCAACUUUUUCCGUUCAAAAUAUGAAACUGGAAUAGGCAUGAAACGGAAGAAGACUUGAUGCCAGUCAUUUCAGAAUUUUUGGGUGUAUUGCUUAUGCCCAUGUUCCUGACCAAAAAAUAAAGAAGUUGGAAGACAAAGGGGAAAAAUGCAUCCUUCUUGGUGUUAGUGUUUGUACUAAAGCUUUCAAAUUGUAUAAUUUUAGCACUAAGAACGUUAUCAUCAGUUGAGACGUAAUUUUUUAUGAAGAAAAUUUCUAGGAUUAAGAUACAAUAGAAGUUCAAUGGAAUAUUGCAAGAGAUUUUGAUGGAGAAGAUUUAGAGUUACAAGUUGAGGAUAAUUUGCAGCCACUUCAUGAGCAAGAAAUAAUUCGAAGGCCACCUGAAGCUGCAACUGAACCAACAUCACCAUAUAUAAGAAGAAGGCAUGCAUGGAUGAGGGACUAUGAAGUGACAAGGAUCAACCAAUCCAAAGACCCACUUACGUAUUUUGCUCUUUUUAUAGAUUGUGAUCUUGUAACUUUUGAAGAUGUAGUUAAACAGUCUAAAUGGAGGUGAGCAAUGGAUGAUGAAAUUGCUUCCAUUAAAAGAAACAAAACUUGGAAGUUAGCUGAGCUUCCAAUGGGACAUAAAACUAUUGAUGUGAAGUGGGUCUAUAAGACGAAAUUGAAGGAGAAUGGUGAAGUUGACAAAUGCAAAGCACGCUUGGUCACGAAAGGCUAUACCCAGGAGCUUGGCAUCGAUUACAAGGAGGUAUUAGCUUUAGUUGCUAGGCAUGACACAAUUAGGUUGGUGAUCGCUUUGGCUGCUCAAAAUUCUUGGUCGAUCUUUCAACUAGAUGUCAAAUCGACAUUCUUGCAUAGAGAUUUGAAUGAACUGGUAUUUGUUAAAAAAGCUCCUGGAUAUAUUAAGAUUGGGGAAGAGCAUAAAGUGUAUAAGUUAAAAAAAGGCUUUGUACGGAUUUAAACAAGCCCCUUGAGCUUGGUAUAGUCAUACUGAGGCUUAUUUUCUUAAAGACGAUUUUUAAAAAUGUCCUUAUGAGCAUACUUUUUUGUAAAAGUGGAAAAUGAUAGGAAAAUGUUAAUAGUCUUCCUGUAUGUUGAUGAAUUUUCGUUUACUAGGAAUGAUUAGACCAUGUUUGAAAAGUUCAAAAAAUCCAUGAUGGCUGAAUUUGACAUGUCUGGCCUUAGAAGAAUGCAUUAUUUCCUGAAUAUGGAGGUUGUUCAAUUAGAUGCAGGUAUUUUUAUUUCUCAAAUGAGGUAUGUACAAGAUAUUCUAAGGAGGUUUCUAAUGGUGGACUGCGAUCCAGUUUAUACACUAGCAGAGACAAGUUUAAAGUUCGCAAAGAUGACAAUGGAAGAGACGUUGAUAGUACUUUGUACAAGCAAAUUGUGGGAAGCUUGAUGUAUCUUACUGCGACAAGGCUGGAUAUAACGUAUGUUGUAAGUCUUAUUUUUAUAUCCAUGGAACGUCCAAAGGAAAUGCAUCUCCAAGUAGCAAAAAGAAUCCUUAGAUAUUUUCAAGGUACAACUAACUAUAGAAUUCUAUACAAGAGAGGAGAAAAAUCAAAUUUGAUUGGGUUUAUAGAUAGUGGCUAUGCAUGAGACCAAAAUGAUAGGAAAAGUACAUCUAGUUAUGUCUUUAAGAUGGGGUCAGGAGUUGUUUCAUGGUCAUCGCGAAAACAACCAAUUGUCACUCUGCUAACAAAUGAAGCAGAACUUGUAGCUGCAUCAACAUGCGUCUGUCAAGCCAUUUGGCUGAGAAAGCUUCUUAGGGAAGUUCAUUUCAAACAAAAAGGGCCUACUCUUAUAUAUUGUGACAAUAGUUCAACCAUAAAGCUGUCUAAGAAUCCUAUUUUGCAUGGGAGAAGUAAACAUAUUGAUGUACAAUAUCACUUCUUGAGAGAUCAUGUGAACAAUGAAGAGAUUGAUAUGGUCUACUGCAAGAGUGAGGAUCAAAUCGCAAACAUAUUUACGAAGGCUCUUAAAAUUGUAGCAUUUCAGAAGCUACAAUAAAUGCUUGGAGUUAGCAAGGCAGAAAGUUCUUAGUUUAAACUUAUAUUAGAAAUUAAUAUUAGCUUAAGGGAGGGUUUGUUAGAUAUUUGCAGUACUUAGUAUUUGAUUUAAAUUGAUAUGCUUUCCAAGAUUUUAGGAGUUAGUUUUGCAUAUUUCUAUUUUUCUUUAUUAGAUGUACAACCUAUUUAAAAAGGCUUUUUGCUUAUUGAAUAAACAAGUUGAUUUCCUCCCCAACUCUCUCUUCUAUCUACUGCUCACUUAACAGUAACAGUUAUAUGGCUUUUUUUUCAUUCAUUUUUCUUUUUCCUUUUUUCAUGUGCUGGGUUGGUAAACAAUGUGUAUAAAAGUAGUAUAUGUCAAAAACGAUGUUAGAAAAUUUAUAUUGGAGUAGGAUAAAAUUAUAAAAAUUUGAAACCUAAAGUUAAGAUUUCUUGGUUAAGAAGCUUAAUUAUUAAUUUUUGUAAAGGACCAAGAAUUAAUUUAUUGAAUUUUUUAGAAUUAGAACUAAAUUGAAUUUUUUUUUGUAAAUUUUGAAGGCUAAAUUUAAUUAAUUUUUUAGAAUUCAAACUAAAAUGACAAAUUUUGUAAACAUUAAGGGCUAAAUUUGUUGAAUGUUUUAUAUUUAGGAUCAAAUAGAUAUAAUGUAUAAACAUUGGAGGGCUAAAUCUAUUAUUAGAUAAUAAAAAAGCUCAAAUCAGCAUACUAAAAUAUUUGAUUUCGAAAAGUUUAAUAACUAAAUUAGAAAAAUUAAUAAUUUAAUGACCAAAAUAAAACAAAAGGAAUAAUUUGAUGACUACUUUUAUAAUUUACCCAUAAAUAUAUAUAAUAUAUAACAUAAUAUUAAAGUUAUCCCAUGCAAAGAGAAUGAUGAAUUAAGAUUUCUUCAAUUUUAAAACAACUUAGCAAUGGGAUAUUUUGAGUUUCGUGGGGUGGUUAAUUCAUUUCCCAAUUUUUUAAUAUUAAUCUUAGUAUAAAUUUUUAUCAUAUAUUUUUAUAUAAUACUUAAAAUUAUCUAUAGUCUUUCCUUAACCUUUAAAUAGGAGGAUAAUGUGCUUCAAUGAGCUCGAAUCCACGUCCUUCUACAGUGGGAACAAUGUCGAUGCCAAUUGAAUUAAGACUUAAUCAGCAAUAAUGCUGACAAGAAUAAGGUAAUUCCUUUCAAUCUUAUUCAUAGACUUCAAGAGUAUACGUAAUAUAUAUAUUGUAAUAGCCACGUAGGAAUAAGAAAAAUAUAGGCUUGAUAACAAUUUUGGCCACUAAUGUUCGCAUGUUUUGUCAAAAUGGCUCUAAUUAUAUUUUUGAGCAUUUUUUGGCCAUCAACUUUUGUUCUUUUUUUCAAAUUACUUUUCCUAACAUAUUUAAUAAAAGUACCAUUAAAAAAGUUAAUAGGGAUGAUUUAGAAUUUCAUAUGUGGAAUAUUUUUAAUGAAAUGCAAUUUAUUACUUAAAUAACCCUAUAAGAUAAUUACAUGUGAAAAAUAAUAAAAUAAAUAAAUAAUACAUGAAAUUAAAAAAAUAACUCUUAAUUUGAAGAAAAUAAACGUAAUUAUGUAAAAAAAUUAAUUUAGUAGAAAAACUUCUCAAUAAAUAAAUAUACGAAAGAUUGAAAGCUUUUAAAAAUAAAAAAGAACAAUUGAAACCUUGAUUUUAUUCAUUAAAUAUGUUCGAAAGAGCAAUUUGAAAAAAAAAUCAAAAGUUGAUAAUUAAAAAAUGCUAAAAAAUACAAUUAGAAUAAUUUUGAUAAAAUAUACAAACAUUAAUAGUUAAAUUUAUAAUUAAGCCAAAGAUAUAUAAUAUAUUCCUAAAUAUAUACUAAAAGAUAUACAAUAUAUUUAGAUAUUCCUAAAAAUAAUAUUCCAUAAUAAUAUCUUAACAAAUGUGGAUGCCCUUACCAACGAAAAUUAUAUAUGGAUAAAGAAGAAAUAAUUUAUUUAAUAAUUUAUAUAAUUAAAAAGUUUAUAAACUAAAAUAUAUUUCUCUACUUUUUGGCACGUUCUUUUUUCUCAUCCUUUCUUUCUUGUUUCUUUUGUUUUUCCAGUUUUGGUCAUGCUUGUUUUGUAUUGGUCGUGAAUGGCGAUUGUGGAAGAGACUCUCGCUGAUCUCUCCAUUAGUGAGGAGGAAGAGGCUGCACUGCUGUUGGGUUCGGAAGGUCCAGAGGGUGGGGUGUUUUAUGGGAACUACUUUGUGGGUUCUUUCUUAACGUCAAGUGUGAUUAAUUUUCGGUCUAUGCGAUCAACUCUAGCAAAUUUUUGGCAUCUGAUUGGGGGUAUCUCAAUUUCAAAUCUGAAUGAGGGUCACUAUAUUUUUCGGUUGAUGCGAAUCGGAUUGCGGUGGGGGGUCCGUCUAAUUUUAACUCUCAUCUUAUCAUUAUGCAUCGGCUUAAGGAUGGGGAGGACCCUAUGGUGGUGCCAUUGGUUACUAUGGAUUUCUGGGUGUUAGUCCAUGAUUUACCUCACGGGUUUAUGUUUGAGAUGGUGGAAAAGUAGUUGGGUACUUUUAUCGGGAAAUUCCAUGAAUAUGAUGCGAAAGCAAUCUCGUUGGGGUAUAAAAGUGUCACGCGAGUUCGAGUCCGGUUUGAUAUUCGUAAGCCGUUGAAGAGGAAGAAGAAGAUUGUGCUAGUUAAUGGCAAGUAGGAUUAUCUGAUAUUUGAAUAUGAGAAGUUGACUUUCUCUUCUUUUUUUUUUUCUUUGUAAGAAGCUUGGCCAUGAGGAGGGUUUCUGCCCUAUUUGGAUACUUCAGCAAAAGCAAGACUUCGAGUUUGAGUGGGACAUCACUCUACGGGCUCCAACUAGGCAGGUAGUGGCACCAACGAGCAUCUGGUUAAGGGAAGAUGCGGGUACAAAGGGACAGAUUAAAGGGAUGUCAAAUCCUAUGAAUUGGGGGAUGACGGUAACAGGGCCGAUUUUUCCUCCUACAAAUAUGUGAAUAAAUCAAAAGGCUGGUUUGGUUGAGAAUAUAGUGGUCAAGAAUAAUGUUGUUGGGCUUCUUUCAUGGGGUCACGCAAUAGGGCCUUUUCUGGGCGUAUUGGUGUCUUGGUUCAGUCUCAACCGAUUGGGCUUACGCAUGUCGAUAGACACGAGGGAAUGUGCUGUGUUGGGGAUGACAGAUCGGUUCUGCAUUUGGAUGGUCUGAAGCGGCCUCGUGUCUAAGAAGAUGAGUCAGAGGAGCCUAGUUGUCUAGUCUCGAAGGAUGUUUCUAUUUCUUUAUCGGCAGGCCUUGCUUAGCAAUCCAGCCGGUCGCCAUGAAAACCUUAUGUUGGAAUCUCUAGAGUUUGAGGAAUUCUCAGACUGUAGGCCGCCUUCAGCAUGUGCUAAGAGAUCUUAACCCCUCUGUAAUUUUUCUCGCUGAACUAAAUUAUAGAUUAAUCGUAUGGAGAAAGUACAUAGGAUGUGUGGAUAUCCAAAUGGAGUGGAUGUUUGUUCUAUUGGUAGUAGGGGGCUUUCGUUCGGUUGGAAGCCAAACUACAAUGUCUCUUUACGGUUUUAUUCAGGAAGCCAUAUCGAUGUUUUGAUAAAUGAAGACUUUAAUGGUAAAUGUUGGAGGUGUACAGGUUUUUUUGGGCACCGAAGAGCCACGAAGGGCGGAUUCCUGGAAUCAUUUACAGCAAUUGGACGACUGUCCGAAUGUUCCUUGGCGCAUUUUUGGGGAUUUUAAUGAAAUUGCUUUUUCUUUUGAGAAAUAGGGUGUACUGCUGCUUUGUCCUCUUUUCUGGAUGAUUUGGCUGAUUGUUCGUUGGAGGACCUGGGGUAUACUGGGGUUUGAUUUACUUGGGAAAGGGGCAGAAAGGUUCAUAACAAUAUUCAGGAAUGGCUCAACAGAGGUGUGGCAAAUGAGGCGUGGAGCCAACUGUUCCCAUAUUAUAAGCUGUCCCAUCUGUCGAGGAUUUUUUCAGAUCAUUGUUCCAUUCUACUUGAUACAAGAACACACAUAGGUUCUUCCUCUAGUUCGUGGUAUUUUAAAUUUGAGGCGGCUUGGCUGCUAGAGCCAUCGUGUGAAGCUGAAGUUAGGAGGUUGUGGGAUGGUUUGUUGAGGUCUGUUCUGGAUAGACUUAAAACUGUGAGUGAGGGUUUGCUUGUGUGGGCUCGGAAACUCAAGCGUGGUAAAAAGAUGACUGGAUUAGAUUUAUAGAGACAACUUGAUUUGCUAAAUGGGAUGGAUCCAACUGAGGAGGUUUUGGACGACCUAGUUGAUGUGAAGCUUGUGUUGAAUCUUGCUUAUGAUAAAGAAGAGCUUUAUUGGAAGUAGCGAGCUAGAGCCAACUGGUUGAAACAUAGGUACCGUAAUUUGGCAUUUUUCAACCAUUGUGUUACUCAGAAGCGCUGUAGGAAUCGUAUCCAGGGAUUGGAGGCUGGUGAUGGUAGGUUGGUUGAAUCUGAUGAGGGUUUUGGAUGCAUUGCCGGAGACUAUUUUAAGGGCUAUUCACUUUGCAAGGAAGUGCAAAUGCUAGUGCUAUUCUUUCAAGGGUUGAAAGGUGUAUUUUAGAUGCGAUGAAUGAGAGGCUGGGACGUGCUUUUACAAAUGAUGAGGUAGUUGUUGCUCUUAAUUCAAUGAGUCCUCUUAAGGCAGCUAGGGAGGAUGGUUUGGGCGUUGUGUUUUAUCAACGUUUUUGGCAUAACGUUGGCAAUAAUGUCUGAUGCUUCUGUAUUGACAUACUAAAAGGUGAUGCGCCUUUUUAUUCCAUUAAUCAUACACAUUGUUUUAAUCCCCAAAGUUAGCGAUCGCAGUAACAUAACUCAUUUUCGCCCUAUCAGUCUAUGUAUUCUAUUCAAAAUUACAUAAAAAAAUGUUAGUGAACAGAUUUCAGAAGGUGCUCCACCUUUGUGCAUCCAUGAGGCCCAAAGCGUGUUUGUUCCUAGCCGUCUUAUUUCGGAUAAUGUGGUAACUGCAUAUGAAAUCCUCCAGUGGGUUGAUAGGGAUCCUUUGCUCUCAAGUACGAUAUGAACAAGGCUUAUGACCAUAUGGAGUGGAAUUUAUUGAAACCAUGUUACUAACGAUGGGCUUUUCUUUAGGGUGGGUGAAUGGCAUUAUGUGGUUUCUCUUCAAUCACUUAUUCUGUUGUGGUGAAUGGUCAGAUAGGGGAGAACUUUACUCCGACAAGGGGUCUUUGUCAUGGGGAUCCGUUGAGCCCCCACUUGUUUCUCAUUUGUGAGGAGGGUCUCUCUUCUCUUUUAAGGAUGGUGUUGGUUAAUAGUCAGAUUCGGGGGGUUGCAUGUUAUUCGAGGAGCACCUUUGAUUACUCAUCUCCUUUUUACUGAUGAUAGCCUUAUUUUUGGAGAUGCUACAGUCGUGUGGGGCGACUACUUUGAAAGACCUUCUACAGCAAUAUGCAAGUUGCUCGGGUCAGCUUAUUAACUUUAAAAAGUCAAGUGUUGUCUUUAGCAUAAAAGUGGCUGACGGGAAUCGUUCAGACGUAGGCUGCAUUUUGAGGGUUCACGUUUCUAAUAAUAUAGAGAAGUAUUUGGGUCUCCCUGCUAUUAUAGGUAGGCAUAAGAGACAAGCCUUUGCUAGGUUACAAGAUAGGUUUCGCUGUCGCAUUCUUUCUUGGAUUGCUCAGACACUCUCCAUGAGGGCAGAAAGGUGUUUAUAAAGUCUAUCUUGCAAGCGUUACCAACGUAUGCGAUGAUGUGUUUUUUACUACCCAAGCCAUUUUGUAAGGAAUUGGAAAGCUUAAUGGCUCGAUUCUGUUGGAAAUAUCUAAGAACAAAAGGGUAUACACUGGUGUCCUUGGGCUUUAUUAUGUGAGUUGAAGAAUGGUGGCCUUGGCUUUCGAGCCUUAGCGAAAUUCAACAUUGUUUUGCUUGCAAAAUAGGGAUGGAGACUCCAAACGAACCCGUCUUCUCUAGUGGGAUGACUUUUAAAGGCUAAGGGCACGUUCUGCU
rnacentral:lncRNA from 1 species